rnacentral:rRNA from 1 species
UACGUAGGGGGCGAGCGUUGUCCGGAAUUACUGGGCGUAAAGGGCGCGCAGGCGGUCGGUUAAGUCCGCGGUGAAAGCCCGGGGCUCAACCCCGGAAGGGCCGCGGGGACUGAUCGACUGGGGGCUCGGAGAGGAGCGGGGAAUUCCGGGUGGAGCGGUGGAAUGCGUAGAGAUCCGGAGGAACACCGCUGGCGAAGGCAGCCCCCUGGGUCAAGAUUGACGCUCAUGCACGAAAGCGUGGGGAGCAAACAGG